AUACAGAGGGUGCAAGCGUUAAUCGGAAUUACUGGGCGUAAAGCGCGCGUAGGUGGUUUGUUAAGUUGGAUGUGAAAUCCCCGGGCUCAACCUGGGAACUGCAUUCAAAACUGACUGACUAGAGUAUGGUAGAGGGUGGUGGAAUUUCCUGUGUAGCGGUGAAAUGCGUAGAUAUAGGAAGGAACACCAGUGGCGAAGGCGACCACCUGGACUGAUACUGACACUGAGGUGCGAAAGCGUGGGGAGCAAACAGGAUUAGAUACCCUAGUAGUCC
rnacentral:rRNA from 1 species